CACACAGAAAUUGACAGAAGAGAGUGAGCACACAAAAGUAAAUUGCAUAUGUUGCAUUUGCUUCUCUUGCGUGCUCACUGCUCUUUCUGUCAGAUUCCCGUGCUGAUCUC
rnacentral:pre_miRNA from 1 species